rnacentral:pre_miRNA from 1 species
UAGCUUUCGAGGCUUGUUUUAAGUUGCCUGCGACUUUUACUUGGACACAGGCAGCUAAAGCAAGUCUGGGACGCCA